rnacentral:lncRNA from 1 species
AUGGCUCCAGCGUUUGUGAAGAUUAUUUAUGAGCGUUUGUGAAGAUUAUUUAUGAUGCUUCACCGUCAUCUCUGCCUUUGCCUGCUUUUUACAAUGAUGCCGUUCGAAACUUAGGCUUUCCUGUUGGGCAUGUCACGUUGAGUACAGGUUCUCAACGCUGGCAUGUUUACAUCAAAGUGACGACUAACGGAUGCUUUAUCACUGAUGGAUGGUCAAACGUUUUUUCGGAUCUUGGAAUUGAAGAGACAGAUUUUAUUUUUUUGAGGUCCUUUCUGAAAACACAUUUCAUAUCUACCAUUUCAAGAUUGAUCGUGAUUUGAAUGUGAAAGAUAGUUUUUACCAUGUAAUGAUGUUUCCUGAAGCGAAAAAUUUGUGGUUGCCAAAAAAAUUCAUGGAACAUAAUUUCAAUGAUGAUAUUCUCGAAAAUAAUGUCACGAUUCGUUAUAGUCCUAAUCAAGAAAGGACUGUAAGGAUUAAAAAGUUAUGGGAUAUUCAUUACUACAUCCUUGACUUCUCACAGAUUUCAACUGAUUUGUCUUUG